rnacentral:rRNA from 1 species
CCUACGGGUGGCAGCAGUGAGGAAUAUUUGUCAAUGGUCGGGAGACUGAACCAGCCAAGCCGCGUGAGGGAUGAAGGUACAGAGUAUCGUAAACCUCUUUUGUCAGGGAACAAAGGCGGGGACGUGUCCCCGGAUGAGUGUACCUGAAGACAAAGCAUCGGCUAACUCCGUGCCAGCAGCCGCGGUAAUACGGAGGAUGCGAGCGUUAUCCGGAUUUAUUGGGUUAAAAGGGUGCGCAGGCGGUCUGUUAAGUCAGCGGUAAAAGCCCGGGGCUCAACCCCGGCCCGCCGUUGAAACUGGCAGUCUCGAGUUGGAGAGAAGUAUGCGGAAUGCGCGGUGUAGCGGUGAAAUGCAUAGAUAUCGCGCAGAACUCCGAUUGCGAAGGCAGCAUGCCGGCUCCACACUGACGCUGAGGCACGAAAGCGUGGGUAUCGAACAGGAUUAGAUACCCGUGUAGUC